rnacentral:lncRNA from 1 species
UAUCAUUUUUCAUCUCAUUUCAUCUCAAUUCAUCUCAUCAUUUCAUCUCCUCAUCUCAUCAUUUCCUCCUUUCAUUACAACAUUUCAUCUCAUUUCUUCUCAUCUCAUUUCAAUUUCAUUAUUUCAUCUCAUUUCAUUAUUUCACCUAAUUUCAUUAUUUCAUCUCAUCUCAUCUCAGUUCAUCUGAUCUCAUUUCAUCUCAAUUCAUCUCAUCAUUUCAUCUCCUCAUCUCAUCAUUUCCUCCUUUCAUUACAACAUUUCAUCUCAUUUCUUCUCAUCUCAUUUCAAUUUCAUUAUUUCAUCUCAUUUCAUUAUUUCACCUAAUUUCAUUAUUUCAUCUCAUCUCAUCUCAGUUCAUCUGAUCUCAUUUCAUCUCAGCAUUUCAUC